rnacentral:rRNA from 1 species
UGCAGCCGCGGUAAUUCCAGCUCCAAUAGCGUAUAUUAAAGUUGUUGCAGUUAAAAAGCUCGUAGUUGAAUUUCGGGAUCAGUACGCUGGUCGUGCCUUUGGUAUGUACUGGUGUCACUGAUUCCUCCCUUCUGAAGAACCGUUAUGCCAUUUAUUUGGUGUGGCGGGGAAUCAGGACUGUUACUUUGAAAAAUUAGAGUGUUUAAAGCAGGCUCGCGCUUGAAUACAUUAGCAUGGAAUAAUGAAAUAGGACGUUUGAUCUUAUUUUGUUGGUUUCUAGGAUCGACGUAAUGAUUAAUAGGGAUAGUUGGGGACAUUAGUAUUCAAUUGUCAGAGGUGAAAUUCUUGGAUUUAUUGAAGACUAACUACUGCGAAAGCAUUUGCCAAGGAUGUUUUCAUUAAUCAAGAACGAAAGUUAGGGGAUCGAAGACGAUCAGAUACCGUCGUAGUCUUAACCAUAAACUAUGCCGACUAGGGAUCGGAUGAUGUUAAUUUUUUAAUGUACUCAUUCGGCGUACCC